CGGGAGUCCCUCGGCGCGUGACAUGUCGCCGACGAUCGGCGCGCUCCAGCGGACCAAUGGCGGCCGCCCGCGGCGCGCGGGGCGCCGGGAUGGGGUCCGCCCGCGGCGUUGGGCGCGCUCGCCAGCCCAGGGGUUGCCAUGACUGAGCGGCCCAGGCCCGAGCGAAGCCCGCGCGCGGUCACAUGGGAUCCUGACACCAUUUGGAGGAGAUUCAGAGAAGUAUGAAGAGCACAAAGCACUUGGCUGCCCUCCCCUGCCGUGGGCCUCUUCCCAGCACUCCCUUUCUAUGAUACUCAUGCAUCAUCCUGCAUCCCACGUUCCCUAUGCCUCAUGUCAUCUGUACAUCGUGUGUCUACUCCCCAUGGUCAUGUCAUGGUGUUGUGUACUGGACACAGUUGAAUACUCCCGUCACAUGAUGGGGAAGGCCCCUGAUUGCUGACUCUGCCUGCCACACCGGCUCUGUCCGGAGCCACUGGGACUCGGGAUCCAGUCCACACACACCCCUCA
rnacentral:lncRNA from 1 species